rnacentral:rRNA from 1 species
CGCCUGUUUAACAAAAACAUGUCUUUUUGAUUUUAAUUUAAAGUCUGACCUGCCCACUGAAAUAUUUUAAAUGGCCGCAGUAUACUAACUGUGCAAAGGUAGCAUAAUCAUUAGUCUUUUAAUUGAAGGCUGGUAUGAAUGGUUGGACGAAAUAUUAACUGUUUCAUGAAAAUUUAUAAUAGAAUUUUAUUUUUUAGUCAAAAAGCUAAAAUUUAUUUAAAAGACGAGAAGACCCUAUAAAUCUUUAUAUUUAUAUUAUUAUAAUUUUGUAGAUUCUUUUUAUUAUAAUAAUAGAUUAUAUUUUAUUGGGGUGAUAUUAAAAUUUAAUAAACUUUUAAUUUUUUAAAUCAUUAAUUUAUGAAUAAUUGAUCCGUUAUUAGCGAUUAAAAAAACAAGUUACUUUAGGGAUAACAGCGUAAUUUUUUUGGAGAGAACAUAUCGAUAAAAAAGAUUGCGACCUCGAUGUUGGAUUAAGAUAUAAUUUUAGGUGUAGCCGCUUAAAUUUUAAGUCUGUCCGACUUUUAAAUUCUUACGUGAUCUGAGUUCAGACCGG